GAUGAACGCUGGCGGCGUGCCUAAUACAUGCAAGUCGAGCGAACAGACGAGGAGCUUGCUCCUCUGACGUUAGCGGCGGACGGGUGAGUAACACGUGGAUAACCUACCUAUAAGACUGGGAUAACUUCGGGAAACCGGAGCUAAUACCGGAUAAUAUAUUGAACCGCAUGGUUCAAUAGUGAAAGACGGUUUUGCUGUCACUUAUAGAUGGAUCCGCGCCGCAUUAGCUAGUUGGUAAGGUAACAGCUUACCAAGGCAACGAUGCGUAGCCGACCUGAGAGGGGGAUCGGCCACACUGGAACUGAGACACGGUCCAGACUCCUACGGGAGGCAGCAGUAGGGAAUCUUCCGCAAUGGGCGAAAGCCUGACGGAGCAACGCCGCGUGAGUGAUGAAGGUCUUCGGAUCGUAAAACUCUGUUAUUAGGGAAGAACAAAUGUGUAAGUAACUAUGCACGUCUUGACGGUACCUAAUCAGAAAGCCACGGCUAGCUACGUG
rnacentral:rRNA from 1 species